rnacentral:rRNA from 1 species
UGGGGAAUAUUGCACAAUGGGCGCAAGCCUGAUGCAGCCAUGCCGCGUGUAUGAAGAAGGCCUUCGGGUUGUAAAGUACUUUCAGUCGGGAGGAAGGUGUCAAGGUUAAUAACCUUGGCAAUUGACGUUACCGACAGAAGAAGCACCGGCUAACUCCGUGCCAGCAGCCGCGGUAAUACGGAGGGUGCAAGCGUUAAUCGGAAUUACUGGGCGUAAAGCGCACGCAGGCGGUUGAUUGAGUCAGAUGUGAAAUCCCCGGGCUUAACCCGGGAAUUGCAUCUGAGACUGGUCAGCUAGAGUCUUGUAGAGGGGGGUAGAAUUCCAUGUGUAGCGGUGAAAUGCGUAGAGAUGUGGAGGAAUACCGGUGGCGAAGGCGGCCCCCUGGACAAAGACUGACGCUCAGGUGCGAAAGCGUGGGGAGCAAACA